rnacentral:rRNA from 1 species
AUUGAACGCUGGCGGCAGGCUUAACACAUGCAAGUCGAGCGGGGAAGGGUAGCUUGCUACCUAACCUAGCGGCGGACGGGUGAGUAAUGCUUAGGAAUCUGCCAUUUAGUGGGGGACAACAUUCCGAAAGGAAUGCUAAUACCGCAUACGUCCUACGGGAGAAGGCAGGGGAUCUUCGGACCUUGCGCUAAAUGAUGAGCCUAAGUCGGAUUAGCUAGUUGGUGGGGUAAAGGCCUACCAAGGCGACGAUCUGUAGCGGGUCUGAGAGGAUGAUCCGCAACACUGGGACUGAGACACGGCCCAGACUCCUACGGGAGGCAGCAGUGGGGAAUAUUGGACAAUGGGCGGAAGCCUGAUCCAGCCAUGCCGCGUGUGUGAAGAAGGCCUUAUGGUUGUAAAGCACUUUAAGCGAGGAGGAGGCUACUUAGAUUAAUACUCUAGGAUAGUGGACGUUACUCGCAGAAUAAGCACCGGCUAACUCUGUGCCAGCCGCCGCGGUAA